rnacentral:tRNA from 1 species
GCAUCUAUCGUAGUUUGGGAACUAUAUCUGCCUUCCAAGCAGAGGAUGCCGGUUCGAUCCCGGCUAGAUGCUCCA